CAGACCUCUUCACAGCACUUGGCUUAUGGUCCAGAUUUCAAGUGCCAGUUACCCAGAAACACUAAGCAUAUGCUUUUGGAACAGGCAGAAGAGGUUCAACAGGACUCAAAGAAGUAAUAAUCACUGGGAGCAACAAAUUCAGUUAUGAUGUGGAAAAUCUAAAUAGGAAAUGACUAUUUCUCCCAGGAGCUCUACUUUGUUCUUGCAGGAGGGAGCUCAGUGUAAUUAUCAGGCAGUAGAACUGAAAAUAAGCAAAAUAAAUGACUUCUUAAC
rnacentral:lncRNA from 1 species